rnacentral:piRNA from 1 species
UGAAUCUGUGUGCACGCCUCUGUGUG